ensembl:lncRNA
AAGAAAACCAUUCGGACUGCCAUUGCAGAAGCACUCAGGCAGUCAGGCCGUUCUGGUGAAGCAGGCAACCCUGUCCUGAGAAGGGAAAUGCUUUCACUUUGCUACUUAGAUGAGCAGAGAUAUCUAAAGCUGGGGGAACAAGCAGGAAAGCCUGACAUCCCCACACAGUGUCCUUUAGAUCUCUAGUGAAGACUACACUCAAAAGAGAAGAUGCGAAACUCCAGUGUCCUUGGAUAGCACUGAACCUGAGGUUGGCCAUUCUGUAGCAAAAUUUCAACACACCGAGAGCAAAGUCUUGCAAGCUUGGAGCGUUAUUUAUGGACAGUUAUGAGGACUGCUAUUCCAUCCUCUACAUGUGGCACAGCUAAGUGCUUACUCAUAUAUGCAAGCUGGCUACUCAGCCCCAUUUUUC